UCUCCGUUGGUGAACCAGCGGAGGGAUCAUUACCGAGUGCAAACUCAUAACCCUUUGUGAACCUAUAUCUGUUGCUUCGGCGGCUCGCUCUCGGGCGAGCCCGCCGGUAAUAUCAGUAUCUCUGUUUGAACCCGACGAUACUUCUGAGUGUUCUUAGCGAACAGUUAAAACUUUUAACAACGGAUCUCUUGGUUCUG
rnacentral:misc_RNA from 1 species